rnacentral:rRNA from 1 species
AACGAACGCUGGCGGCAUGCCUAACACAUGCAAGUCGAACGAGGCCUUCGGGUCUAGUGGCGCACGGGUGCGUAACGCGUGGGAACCCGCCCUUAGGUUCGGAAUAACUCCCCGAAAGGGGUGCUAAUACCGGAUAAUGUCUUCGGACCAAAGAUUUAUCGCCUUUGGAUGGGCCCGCGUUGGAUUAGCUAGUUGGUAGGGUAAAAGCCUACCAAGGCGACGAUCCAUAGCUGGUCUGAGAGGAUGAUCAGCCACACUGGGACUGAGACACGGCCCAGACUCCUACGGGAGGCAGCAGUGGGGAAUAUUGGACAAUGGGCGAAAGCCUGAUCCAGCAAUGCCGCGUGAGUGAUGAAGGCCUUAGGGUUGUAAAGCUCUUUUACCCGGGAUGAUAAUGACAGUACCGGGAGAAUAAGCUCCGGCUAACUCCGUG